rnacentral:rRNA from 1 species
UGCCAGCCGCCGCGGUAAUACGGAGGGGGCUAGCGUUAAUCGGAAUUACUGGGCGUAAAGCGCGCGUAGGCGGUUUGUUAAGUGGGAUGUGAAAGCCCCGGGCUCAACCUGGGAACUGCACUCCAAACUGGCAGACUAGAGUAUGGUAGAGGGUGGUAGAAUUUCCUGUGUAGCGGUGAAAUGCGUAGAUAUAGGAAGGAAUACCGAUGGCGAAGGCAGCCACCUGGACCAAUACUGACGCUGAGGUGCGAAAGCGUGGGGAGCAAACAGGAUUAGAUA